rnacentral:rRNA from 1 species
UACGGGGGGGAGCAAGCGUUGUUCGGAUUUACUGGGCGUAAAGGGCGCGUAGGCGGUCAGCACAAGUCAGUUGUGAAAUCUCCGGGCUUAACUCGGAAAGGUCAACUGAUACUGUGCGACUAGAGUGCAGAAGGGGCAACUGGAAUUCUCGGUGUAGCGGUGAAAUGCGUAGAUAUCGAGAGGAACACCUGCGGCGAAGGCGGGUUGCUGGGCUGACACUGACGCUGAGGCACGAAGGCCAGGGGAGCAAACGGG